ACAACAACAAUAACAAGCAAUGCCACAGACAAUAAAAACAAGACGUAUCGACUCCAGCACAACAAAAACAACAGGGCGGAGGCGCAGCUAACUGAUUCUUUUGGAGAGGAAUUGCCUUUGGGGCUUGCCCCAUAACCAGGCUGAGAACAAUAAAACUGCUCGAAGGCAGUGCCUGUACUGGUUAGGUCACAACGUGACCAUGGUAGCGUCAGCAUCCAAAGCAAUCCGUUUGCUACUAACUCCCAGCUUGGGAGGUUUUCCAAGGGUCUCUGACUCAAUGGAACGGGUAAACCAACAAAAACAACAAGCCCGCCAUAAUAAUAAAAACAAAGCACGCACCUACUUGGGGGGGAGCUUAGGCUCCCCCAGUAGCUUCAACCCUCCCAGCUUCGACUGCCAUC
rnacentral:sRNA from 1 species